rnacentral:misc_RNA from 1 species
GUCCGACGAUGCGCCGAGCUUGUUGACCAUCAGUUGCGAUUCCAUCGACGGCACCACAACCAGCGCGAAGCCCGAUGGCUUGGUGACAUCGGCCAUGGUCGACCACAGCGCAUCGCGCUUGGCCUGGCGCGGCGNUUCAGGCAGACCGUGAGGUCGGCGACGGUGCCGAGGACUUUCGCGGACUGGCACACAUCCAUCGCUAGCCAUUUCGCGUUCGGAAGGUCCGCGCAUCGCUUCUUUG